rnacentral:rRNA from 1 species
UACGUAGGGACCAAGCGUUGUUCGGAUUUACUGGGCGUAAAGGGCGCGUAGGCGGCUUAACAAGUCACUUGUGAAAUCUCCGGGCUUAACUCGGAACGGCCAAGUGAAACUGUCAAGCUAGAGUGCAGAAGGGGCAAUCGGAAUUCUUGGUGUAGCGGUGAAAUGCGUAGAUAUCAAGAGGAACACCGGUGGUGUAGACGGCUUUCUGGACCGUAACUGACGCUGAGACACGAAAGCGUGGGUAGCAAACAGG